rnacentral:rRNA from 1 species
AUUGAACGCUGGCGGCAUGCCUUACACAUGCAAGUCGAACGGUAACAGGUCUUCGGAUGCUGACGAGUGGCGAACGGGUGAGUAAUACAUCGGAACGUGCCUAGUAGUGGGGGAUAACUACUCGAAAGAGUGGCUAAUACCGCAUGAGAUCUACGGAUGAAAGCAGGGGAUCGCAAGACCUUGUGCUACUAGAGCGGCCGAUGGCAGAUUAGGUAGUCGGUGGGAUAAAAGCUUACCAAGCCGACGAUCUGUAGCUGGUCUGAGAGGACGAUCAGACACACUGGGACUGUGAAACGGCCCAGACUACUAGGGGAGGCAGCAGUGGGGAACUGUGGAAAAUGGGCGAAAGGCUGAUGCAGCAAUGCCGCGUGCAGGAUGAAGGGCUUCGGGUUGUAAACUGAUUUUGUACGGAACGAAAAGCCGCGGGUUAAUACCAUGGGGUCAUGACGGUACCGUGAGAAGAAGCACCGGCUAACUACGUGCCAGCAGCAGCCGCGG